rnacentral:rRNA from 1 species
AGGGUGACAGGUGGUGCAUGGUUGUCGUCAGCUCGUGUCGUGAGAUGUUGGGUUAAGUCCCGCAACGAGCGCAACCCUUAUCAUUAGUUGCUACGCAAGGGCACUCUAAUGAGACUGCCGGUGGACAAACCGGAGGAAGGUGGGGAUGACGUCAAGUCCUCAUGGCCCUUAUGGGUAGGGCUUCACACGUCAUACAAUGGUCGGUACAGAGGGUUGCCAAGCCGCGAGGCGGAGCCAAUCCCACAAAGCCGAUCGUAGUCCGGAUUGUUCUCUGCAACUCGAGAGCAUGAAGUCGGAAUCGCUAGUAAUCGCAGGUCAGCAUACUGCGGUGAAUACGUUCCCGGGUCUU